UUCCCGUACGAUCACCGAAGUUAUGCAGCUUUGAACCUGGUCAGUACCUGGAUGGGUGACCGUUUAAGAAUACCAGGUGCUGUAAG